UAAAGAUGCCACGUGCAGGCUUGCCUCAUAGAACACAUGAAGAACUGUGACUGGGAUCUUUACUCUUAAGGACUGGAAAUAACUGCAUAAUUGUUCAUCAGCUAGGUUGCUGCACUGUAUCCUUAUUAUAGUAUGGAGGCAACUGUGGCAGAAGAGGUAUUUUGUUCCAUGCUCUCUCUUCAAGAUCACAGCUGCUCUGCCUCCAGAGAGGGUGGAAUAACUUUAAUCUUCUUAUGCUUGGGGUUAUCCUUCUGUCCAGAUAUGGCAGUGCUGUGCUGAUGUAACCUUUGGGCAGGCUAGAGUUCAUUCACUGCCCAUCUCCAGUGCCUAGAAAAACAAAAAA